rnacentral:rRNA from 1 species
AAAGCCUUCGGGUGAGUAAAGCGGCGGACGGGUGAGUAACACGUAGGAAUAUGCCCAGUAGUGGGGGAUAACGUUUCGAAAGGAACGCUAAUACCGCAUACGCCCUACGGGGGAAAGGGGGCUUCGGCUCUCGCUAUUGGAGAAGCCUGCGUCGGAUUAGCUAGUUGGUGGGGUAAAGGCCUACCAAGGCGACGAUCCGUAGCUGGUCUGAGAGGAUGAUCAGCCACAUCGGGACUGAGACACGGCCCGA